UGUAAGGCGUGCCUUGCCGGCGCUAUAUGCCAGCAGGGUUCGGUUUAGGGCUUGUAGCUCAGUUGGUUAGAGCGCGCGCUUGAUAAGCGUGAGGUCGGAGGUUCAAGUCCUCCCAGGCCCACCAUCUCCUAUGCAUCGUGAGGAAACAAUCAGGGGCCGUAGCUCAGCUGGGAGAGCGCCUGCUUUGCAAGCAGGAUGUCGUCGGUUCGAUCCCGUCCGGCUCCACCACUUGCGCAAUCCCGAAGGGAUUGUCGCGGUUCGCGACGAUCCUGUGGAUCGCGCGGAGGUGUUGAGCAGAGAUGAACACCGUCAGGCAAGUCAUUCGUAAAAAAGGUUUGUGGUGAGCGCCUAGCUUGCCGCUUGUUCUGUUUUGACAUCGUAAAGAGAAGAUUUGUUCGAACUUCAUGAGCCGAAAGGUUCGUGAUUUGUCGCAGGAGACGCUCAAUCUCUUGCAUAUGAUGGGUUUGCCUAACCGCGCCCUCGAACCGAUCUCGAGAAGCUGGUCUUUUUGUGCCAAUGACAUCGGAUUGGAUCCCGCACAGGAUCCGGUUCAGGCGACAAUCUCUUCGAGAUUGCGCAACUGGCGACAAUUCCUUCGGAAUUGCGCUGGGGUGGGCAUUGGCAAUGAGAACGAUCAAGUGUCUUAAGGGCAAUUGGUGGAUGCCUUGGCAUGCACAGGCGAUGAAGGACGUGAUACGCUGCGAUAAGCUAC
rnacentral:tRNA from 1 species